rnacentral:rRNA from 1 species
GGAUGCGGAUCAUAAUCUCAGGCACUUAAUGCCACGGAUCCCAUCAGAUACUCCGUUAAGUAAGCGUGCUUGGCUGCAGAGUAGUACUAGGAUGGUGUCGACCCCCUGUUGAGAGGUCAUCGUGUUGCAUCCG